AAACGACUCUCGGCAACGGAUAUCUCGGCUCUCGCAUCGAUGAAGAACGUAGCGAAAUGCGAUACUUGGUGUGAAUUGCAGAAUCCCGUGAACCAUCGAGUCUUUGAACGCAAGUUGCGCCCGAAGCCAUUAGGUUGAGGGCACGUCUGCCUGGGCGUCUC
rnacentral:rRNA from 1 species